rnacentral:tRNA from 1 species
GUCAGUGUGGCAUAGUGGUUUGAGUGUUGGACUAUGACUCUGGAGAUCAGAGUUCAAUUCCCAGCUCGGCCA